rnacentral:rRNA from 1 species
GCUAGCUACAGGCUUAACACAUGCAAGUCGAGGGGUAGCAGGGUAGCAAUACCGCUGACGACCGGCGCACGGGUGAGUAACACGUAUCCAACCUUCCCAUAACUCGGGGAUAGCCUUUCGAAAGAAAGAUUAAUACCCGAUAGUACUUUUUUAGGGCAUCUUAGAAAAGUUAAAGAUUUAUUGGUUAUGGAUGGGGAUGCGUUCCAUUAGAUAGUUGGUGAGGUAACGGCUCACCAAGUCUUCGAUGGAUAGGGGUUCUGAGAGGAAGGUCCCCCACAUUGGUACUGAGACACGGACCAAACUCCUACGGGAGGCAGCAGUGAGGAAUAUUGGUCAAUGGGCGAGAGCCUGAACCAGCCAAGUAGCGUGAAGGAUGACGG